GGGUGCCUGGCUGGCUUCGCCUUUGGGUGUCCAGAUCAAGGACCCCUUCAGCUGUCUCUGAGCUGGCUCAGAGACAUGGAGAGAAAGAAAGGAGCUUCCCUGAAGGAUAGGAUGUUUCAAUCUCAGAGGAAACUGAUACACAGCAAGAGACCUUUCUGAAACGAAGCUUCAAGAAAUAGAAGCCUUCUAGCAAACACUGUGAUCGCUGCAGCAGGAAGCCCGAGAGUGCAGAGGGCACACCUUACCGAAUCUGGGUUACCUGGGAGUAACAGUCACUGAAGAAACUCAAGCAAAUUUAACAGAGGAUGGUGAUCAGUCAGAAGCAGAAAGAUUCAAAGAAAGUUGUUUGGAAGCUUUCUGAAUAGACCAGGGGAAAAAAGGCAUUCUUUUUAAAACUGUCAUAAAAAUAAACUGAGAGAGAAAAUACAAUCAAAAAGGCCCAAAAUAGAGAAGCAGCAGCGGACUUUCUCGACUGUCUGAGAGUAAAAUCAAGAUUUCUACAGUGAGACACAACCCCAAAUAUGAUUAGAAUCAGGAAGUACAGUGAAGAGGCCCUGAGAAGGAUGGGUGCCCUGACAAAGGCUCCAGAGAACCAUUACGUCCCUUCCGCAAGCACAUGAAGUCACAACACACAAAAACAGGAACCCCUCAUCAGAUACUCUGGACAAGCAUUACCUUGACAUGUGAUUUCCAAACUUUACAAGUCAUCAGACUUCUGGCAGCCUCUGCUUGGGGGCUAACACCUGGGAGCUAAGACAGACUCUCUCUGUUGACUAUCUUUGAAGAAGCCACCUGAGCACAUCCACUGCCUGAGUACGCCAGCCAGCCGCCUGAAGAUCUUCUGAACCUGGGGACUUUGGCACCUGAACUUUCUUUGUAGUGUAAUCUAGAGACUUGUUUUCAGUUUCUCCUGUGACUAUAA